rnacentral:tRNA from 1 species
AAAGAAUUAGUUUAAUAAAAACAUUAAAUUGUCAAUUUAAAAAUAUUUUUAUUUAUUAUUUUAUAAUCUUUUAAAAUAUUCUUUU